rnacentral:tRNA from 1 species
GGGUUCGUAGCUCAGUUGGAUAGAGCAACGGCCUUCUAAGCCGUAGGUCGAGGGUUCGAAUCCCCCCGGACUCACCA